GACGUAGGGCGCGAGCGUUGUCCGGAUUUAUUGGGCGUAAAGAGCUCGUAGGCGGCUUGUUGCGUCGUCCGUGAAAACCUGUGGCUCAACUACAGGCUUGCGGGCGAUACGGGCAGGCUAGAGUUCGGUAGGGGAGACUGGAAUUCCUGGUGUAGCGGUGGAAUGCGCAGAUAUCAGGAGGAACACCAAUAGCGAAGGCAGCUCGCUGGGACGUUACUGACACUGAGGCGCGGAAAGCGUGGGGAGCGAACAGGAUUAGA
rnacentral:rRNA from 1 species